rnacentral:misc_RNA from 1 species
GAAAUGCGAUAAGUAAUGUGAAUUGCAGAAUUCAGUGAAUCAUCGAAUCUUUGAACGCACCUUGCGCUCCUUGGUAUUCCUUGGAGCAUGCCUGUUUGAGUAUCAUGAAAUCUUCAAAGUAAAUCUUUUGUUAACUCAAUUGGUUUCUACUUUGGUAUUGGAGGUCUUUGCAGCUUCACACCUGCUCCUCUUUGUUCAUUAGCUGGAUCUCAGUGUUAUGCUUGGUUCCACUCGGCGUGAUAAGUUAUCUAUCGCUGAGGACACUGUAAAAGGUGGCCAAGGUAAAUGCAGAUGAACCGCUUCUAAUAGUCCAUUGACUUGGACAAUACUUUUAUGAUCUGAUCUCAAAUCAGGUAGGACUACCCACUGAACAUAAGC